rnacentral:rRNA from 1 species
CCUACGGGGUGCAGCAGUGGGGAAUAUUGCACAAUGGGGGAAACCCUGAUGCAGCGACGCCGCGUGAGUGAAGAAGUAUUUCGGUAUGUAAAGCUCUAUCAGCAGGGAAGAAGAAAGACGGUACCUGACUAAGAAGCCCCGGCUAACUACGGGCCAGCAGCCGCGGCAAUACGGAGGGGGCAAGCGUUAGCCGGAAUUACUGGGUGUAAAGGGAGCGUAGACGGCUGUGCAAGUCUGAUGUGAAAGCCCAGGGCUCAACCCUGGGACUGCAUUGGAAACUGUGGAGCUAGAGUGCUGAAGAGGUAAGUGGAAUUCCUUGUGUAGCGGUGAAAUGCGUAGAUAUCAGGAGGAACACCAGUGGCGAAGGCGACCUGCUGGACUGCAACUGACGUUGAGGCCCGAAAGCGUGGGGAGCAAACAGGAUUAGAUACCCCUGUAGUC